AACCACCACCCUGCUGCUGCCUGUCCACCCUCAGUUGCCUGCUGGAACUCCUCCACCUCACUGCCCCAACUGCUGUACCCUCCUCUGCUCAUCUGAACCCUCAAACCUUCCUCCUCUGGCCCGGUUCCUCCCUGCUGCCGCUGAUCUACACCUCUCCAUCCUCCCUCCAUUUACACCUUAUUGUUUAAUAAAUCUGUUAAACUG